GAGGGAUCUGGGUGUCACCAAGGUUGGGGCAUCCUCAAAAGGGUGCAAGAUCCAGGAUUUGGGAGCUGCCUCCCCAUCUAGCAUGGUUUCACUUGAAAGGAAAGGAGAUACUAAGGACAGAGCAGAAUUCAACACGAGCAAGCACCUUAGGGUACUGGACUAGAAAGAGAAGAUAUAAAGUGUUUGAAUGAGGCCAUUCUGGAAAGGAUUCUUUGCCAGUGAGAAAUCCACUCCCCUUUCUCAUGCUGGAUUUGCACAGAAUAUCAAGUCCCUCCUAAAAAUAAAUGCAGCCUCCAUAAUGUUCACCCCAGUCUUUACAGCAGUCCCUGGCUAAUGAACCAGCCACUCUUACAGGCGGAUGGUUGCUGCUUGAGAGGCACUGAGCAGUAAAGAAGACAGAAAGCAGUUAGUCUUGGUGGAGGUGAACUGUAGGGUCAGAGGGCAGGAGAGGAGGUCAGAGGUAUAUAUGAUCAAUACAAUAUUGCACAGGAAUUGCCACAGAGGACACCUCAUGCCUACUUUGUGUGAGCACUUAUAAAUACCUGUCUGUAUUGCCAAUGCCUGGCUCAGCUGAAAAAGGUUCUGUAUCUUUGACGUGAGGCAAGAAGAUCUCCAUCCCCGCAGUUCUACUGAGAUUACUCAGCUGUGAACAGAUAACUCGAUACAAAGAAGAGGAAGAAAAAGCAAGGAAAAAAGUAGAAGCAGACAAUUUCAUAGAGCCCAAACCAGACAAGACUCUCUCUGAUGACCAAGGGAAAGGCUUUGAUAAACGGUAGGGCAGCUCCUCAAAUCCAGGUCUCUGAAAGUGGGGGUGGAACACUGCAGGAAAUAAUAUGAGAGUCCCUGCUGUGGGAGU